UACGUAGGGUGCGAGCGUUGUCCGGAAUUAUUGGGCGUAAAGAGCUCGUAGGCGGUCUGUCGCGUCGGAUGUGAAAACACGGGGCUCAACCCCGUGCCUGCAUUCGAUACGGGCAGACUAGAGUUCGGUAGGGGAGACGUGGAAUUCCUGGUGUAGCGGUGAAAUGCGCAGAUAUCAGGAGGAACACCGGUGGCGAAGGCGGGUCUCUGGGCCGAUACUGACGCUGAGGAGCGAAAGCGUGGGGAGCGAACAGG
rnacentral:rRNA from 1 species